UUGCUUUGUCAGCACUUUUACUAAAAUUGAAAUAAUACUGAGAUUAGCAUAGCCCUGUACAAGAAUGACAUAUAUGUUUGUAAAGCAGUCCAUAUUUUC
rnacentral:snRNA from 1 species